rnacentral:misc_RNA from 1 species
GUGGGAUGGACUUUGUUCCAUCAGAGAAGAGAACGGAAAGCUACAGGUAGUACAGAAUCAUUGUUAAAGUUUAUGGGUGAAGGAGAAGCUGAUUCUAGGAAUAUUAUAAUGGAUGGAAAGGCUUCUCUGAUGAAUAGGAUCAAACUUCCAACUGUUCAAAGUUACAUGUCAAACUUUUACAGGCAAUAUGGUACAAAGGUUGCUCGAAACCCC